rnacentral:rRNA from 1 species
CGCGUAGGCGGAUGUUACAGUCAGGCGUGAAAUUCCCUGGGCUCAACCUGGGGGCUGCGUUUGAUACGUGAUGUCUGGAGUUCGGAAGAGGGUCGUGGAAUUCCCAGUGUAGAGGUGAAAUUCGUAGAUAUUGGGAAGAACACCGGUGGCGAAGGCGGCGACCUGGUCCGAUACUGACGCUGAGGCGCGAAAGCGUGGGGAGGCAAACAGGAUUAGAUACCCUGGUAGUCCACGCUGUAAAACGAUGUGCGCUGGAUGUUGGGUGACAUAGUCAUUCAGUGUCGUAGCUAACGCGAUAAGCGCACCGCCUGGGGAGUACGGCCGCAAGGUUGAA